UGCCAUUCCCCGGGGAGCCAUGAGGCUGAGAGGUGCGGUGCAAGUCCGUACGACCCGCUGAACCUGAUCCAGUUGACACUGGCGUAGGGAGGGCAUGGCGUUUCCAU
rnacentral:ncRNA from 1 species